AUGCCUGCUUCGGCGGCACAUAUACUAAAACUGAAACGACACAGAGAAGAUGGGCAUGGCCCCUGUGAGGACGACACGCAAAUUCGCAAAGUGUUUCAUAUUUCU
ensembl:snRNA U6 U6 spliceosomal RNA